ACGAACGCUGGCGGCGUGCCUAAUACAUGCAAGUCGAGCGGGGCUUAUCCUUCGGGAUAAGCUAGCGGCGGACGGGUGAGUAACACGUAGGUAACCUGCCUAUAAGACUGGGGAUAACUAUCGGAAACGAUAGCUAAGACCGGAUAAACCGGUUUUUCCUCGCAUGAGAGAAUCGUAAAACACGGAGCAAUCUGUGGCUUAGAGAUGGGCCUGCGGCGCAUUAGCUAGUUGGUGAGGUAACGGCUCACCAAGGCGACGAUGCGUAGCCGACCUGAGAGGGUGAACGGCCACACUGGGACUGAGACACGGCCCAGACUCCUACGGGAGGCAGCAGUAGGGAAUCUUCCGCAAUGGACGCAAGUCUGACGGAGCAAACGCCGCGUGAGUGAUGAAGGUUUUUCGGAUCGUAAAGCUCUGUUUGCCCUAGACGAACAGCAUGAGGAGUAACUGCCUUGUGUGUGACGGUAUAGGAGAAGAAAAGCCCCGGCUAACUACGUGCCAGCAGCCGCGGUAAUACGUAGGGGGCAAGCGUUGUUCGGAAUUAUUGGGCGUAAAGGGCGCGUAGGCGGUUAUUUAAGUCAGCUGCUGUAAUCCCGGGGCUCAACCCCGAGGUCGCAUCGGAUAACUGGCAUGACUGAGUGCUACAGAGAGGUAACGUGGAAUUCCACGGUGUAGCGGUGAAAUGCGUAGAGAUCGGGAGGAACACCAGUGAGGCGAAGGCGGACUUUACUGGCUUAUAACUGACGCUGAGGCGCGAAAAAGCCAGGGGGAGCAAACAGGAUUAGAUACCCCUGGUAGGUCCUAGGCCCUAAACGAUGGAUAGCUUGGUGUAGUCGGGUACUCCAAGUCCCGCUUGUGCCGGAGCUAACGCGUUAAGUAUCCCGCCUGGGGAGUACGGUUCGCAAGGCUGAAACUCAAAGGAAUUGACGGGGACCCGCACAAGCGGUGGAGCAUGUGGUUUAAUUAUUCGACGCAACGCGAAGAACCUUACCUGGGCUCGAAAGCGCAGUGGCAUAGGCUGUAGAAAUACCCCCCUCCGCAAGAGGCUGCUGGGAGGUGCUGCAUGGCUGUCGUCAGCUCGUGUUCGUGAGAUGUUGGGUUAAGUCCCGCAACGAGCGCAACCCUUAUCCACUAGUUGCCAUCACGUUCAUGGUCGGGCACUCUAGCGGAAACCUGCCCGGUGAUAAACCGGGGAGGAAGGUGGGGAUGACGUCAAGUCAUCAUGGCCUCUUAUGUCCAGGGCUACACACGUGCUACAAUGGGCUGGUACAAAACCGUCAGCAAAACCUCGUGAGAGGGGAGCCUAAUCGGAAAAAGCCAUGUCCUCAGUUCGGAUUGGCAGUCUGCAACUCGACUCCAUGAAGUUGGAAUCGCUAGUAAUCGCAGAUCAGCACGCUGCGGUGAAUACGUUUCCCGGGUCCUUGUACACACCGCCCGUCACAUCACGAAAGUGGGCUGUACUAGAAGUGCCGGUAGGCUAACCCGCAAGGGGGGCAGGUCACGACGGUAUAGGUUCAUGAUUGGGGUG
rnacentral:rRNA from 1 species